GAUUGGCGAGGGCGAAUCGGAAAUUUGGGGAUUGUGUGCGAUAAGCUGCCUUGUUCGCCAUGUAGGAGCGGUGUUGAUGCAGAAGAAAGGUGGAAAUGGUGGAGGCCUAUAUCAAGAAUUCCAUGGUCAGAAACAUGCCGUCUAACAGAAAAUAAAUUCAUGGUUAAUUGUACAAAAUCAUCGUAUGCGAGUCUUCAUAAUCCAAGCUGAUAUUAUUACAACUACAUUAUAGUUCACCCGACUUUGUAAGGAUCCCACCAUUGUAAGUUUCCAAAAACAAUCGACUUAGACUAAUUUUUUAACACAUAAAAUUGGUGUGCCAAGAGAGGACAAAGGACCGAUAGCGACCAAAGUGAUCAAAUGUUUAAUUAACCUAAUCAAAUCAACUGGUUAACAAUGUGACAAUUUGACGAGUAGAAGGUCAAUCCAAAAUAAUAUAAUAGCUAAUAAGAUCCCUGUGACGAAACACAUUACUUAAUUCUUCAAUCGGCCACCAUCAUAUACGAAACAAUUUAAGGAUUACUAGCCAACAUUACGUGUUCAACUCUAUAUCAACGAAACAAGAAAACAUAUUUAAGAAACUCGUUUUUCGCACCGCAUACGAACAUUGGAGUUAUAGAUAACGAGAUAAAUACACUAGAGGAUACAUAAUUUUCAGCCAAAAUUACUUGACCACUUCCGAUAUCUUUUUUUUUUAUUGAAGUCCAUGGAAAUAGAAAAUACCUAGAGAUGCAGGCGAUUUAAUUUGCAGAUGAGGUAUGCACGAGCUUCUAUCGUAGAAAGACACCACUUUCGGAAUGUCGGAAAUCGACGAAUUGUAGGACCUGAAACUACAUGAUUUUCUGCUAUAAGGGAGCGAAUGAAAAACCCCAGAGCAUCC
rnacentral:lncRNA from 1 species